rnacentral:rRNA from 1 species
CGCAAGCCUGACGGAGCAACGCCGCGUGAGGGAGGAAGGCCUGUGGGUUGUAAACCUCUUUUCUCAGGGAAGAAGCUCUGACGGUACCUGAGGAAUCAGCCUCGGCUAACUCCGUGCCAGCAGCCGCGGUAAUACGGAGGAGGCAAGCGUUAUUCGGAAUUAUUGGGCGUAAAGCGUCCGCAGGGGGCUCAUCAAGUCUGCUGUCAAAGGUCGGAGCUUAACUCCGGUUCGGCAGUGGAAACUGAAUGGCUAGAGUGCCGUAGGGGUAGAGGGAAUUCCCGGUGUAGCGGUGAAAUGCGUAGAGAUCGGGAAGAACAUCGGUGGCGAAAGCGCUCUACUGGACGGCAACUGACACUCAGGGACGAAAGCUAGGGGAGCG